CCAAGGAUGGCAAAGUGGUCUGCACGCUGAAAGAGUUCAAUGAGUACAGGCAGUACCUGACCAGGCUGAAGCUGGAGCGCGAGCAAACAAAGAGGCGAGAAGAGGUAGGCAAAGCCCAGUGUUGGCAGGCACGUGUCAGUGGCAUGGCACCGAGGGCACGGGCUUUACUCGAUGGAUCUGAGGGAGAUGGGGAAUGCAGAAAAGGUGAGGGCUGGGCUGGUGGGCCAGGCCCUGAGGUAUGGAAAGAAUAACCCAGCUUGGGGCUGAGUUAUCGUAGCGUGCUGGCGUGAGUUGACCUGGAAAGUUGCUUGCUUGCACACAGAGCACUGUGGCAGCCAUUCUCUCCUGCCCUCAUUGCAUGGCUGA
rnacentral:lncRNA from 1 species